CUUACAAUAAGGUAUGAGCACAACCUUUCUAAACUUAAUCAGUACUACAAGCAAAGGGAAAAGAAAAACUGGGCUAAAGGUGGGGAUAGAAACACUAAAUUUUUCCAGCAAGCUGUUCUUAAAAGAUGGAGAAGAAACUCCAUUUUCAUCAAAGACGAGUAUGAUGUAGUUCAUUUUAAACCAAAUCAAAUUGCGAAUACCUUUGUCAACUAUUUCAGAUUCAUGGGCAGGCCUUAUAUUGAGACACAUCCGCUACUUCAUCAAGAGGACCCCACUUACUCCAUCCUAGAUAAGAAUGCAAUAUUGCAGAUUCUCAAGGAUAUGAAGCUAAAUGCAUCACCAGGACCAGAUGGUUUCUACCUGGAAUUUUACCUUACAACAUGGGACCGGAUUGGAGAUGAUGUCACCAACUUGGUAACCAGUUUCUAUCAUACAUGUAUAUUACCUCCUCACAUUAGUGACACAAAUAUUGCUCUCAUCCCUAAAAAGUUGGUUCCUAAAGUUCAUACUGAUUAUUGUCCA
rnacentral:rRNA from 1 species